AUAAAAAAAAAAAAAGUGUGCACAGCUCUGCAUCGCGUUUAAGAGAAAAUAAACUUUCAACACUUUCCUCUCUCGAUUUCUUCACAGCCGCUCUUCCAUUCCUCUCUCCCAAUUUCUAUUCUCUUCUCCUGAUUUGUAAUACCCUUCAUAUAGUCACGCACACCCACCGUCCACCAUUAAGGAGCAAGGAAGAUGUCUAAAUAUGGAGAAGUGGGAGAAGAGGUAUGGGUCAGUAGUGGAUGGGUGUGAUAUGUCGACGAAAAUGGGAAAGCCAAGAUUAAGAUUUCAGUUGAAGGAAUUAUUCUUUGCUGGCAUUGGCGAUCCUAAUUUGAAGAAAAACAAGCCCCAAGAUUGCCAAGAGCUGCAAUAAUCACCAACUGCUCGUCAAGACUGUUAUCCUGAGUGUUAUGGUGCUGGCAUCAUUGGUUUCUUCAAGAUUACCGGAAUGUCUGGAAGUGGAAGGACAUAGAGGAGCAUCAUCCAUCGUGAAUAUAUAAUGGAAGGCAUGACCCAUCCUAAUUUCUGGAAAAUAGAUUGGCCAAGAUGUUGUCAUGGAAUUGACCAAAGCAAUGGAAAGACAGGGUGUUCAUAUGCAUAUAUCAGCUCUGGAGACUACAGAUGCAACCUCUGAUUUGAAUAAAAUUGCUGAUAUGUCAUUGUAGGAGGCCAGUGAUGAAUUAUUACAACUCAUGUUUCAUUGCAAGUCUUAAAGUGUGUAGGGUAUGACUCAUUGUAAAAGACAAAUGGAUUCUUCUAACUCCUCUAAGUAGUUCUAAAGUGUUGCACAAUGGUCUUAAAUGAAUAUGUUAUAAAAAAUUUGUACGUAUAUGCAUUCAUUUAUUUAUUUUAUUUUUCUUGA